rnacentral:rRNA from 1 species
GUGAACGCUGGCGGUAGGCCUAACACAUGCAAGUCGAACGGCAGCACAGUAAGAGCUUGCUCUUACGGGUGGCGAGUGGCGGACGGGUGAGGAAUACAUCGGAAUCUACUUUUUCGUGGGGGAUAACGUAGGGAAACUUACGCUAAUACCGCAUACGACCUACGGGUGAAAGCAGGGGAUCUUCGGACCUUGCGCGAUUGAAUGAGCCGAUGCCGGAUUAGCUAGUUGGCGGGGUAAAGGCCCACCAAGGCGACGAUCCGUAGCUGGUCUGAGAGGAUGAUCAGCCACACUGGAACUGAGACACGGUCCAGACUCCUACGGGAGGCAGCAGUGGGGAAUAUUGGACAAUGGGCGCAAGCCUGAUCCAGCCAUACCGCGUGGGUGAAGAAGGCCUUCGGGUUGUAAAGCCCUUUUGUUGGGAAAGAAAGGCAGCAGGUUAAUACCCCGCUGUUCUGACGGUACCCAAAGAAUAAGCACCGGCUAACUUCGUG